GGCCCUAUAGCUCAGUGGUUAGAGCACUGGUCUUGUAAACCAGGGGUCGCGAGUUCAAUUCUUGCUGGGGCCU
rnacentral:tRNA from 1 species